CCUACGGGUGGCAGCAGUGGGGAAUAUUGGGCAAUGGAGGAAACUCUGACCCAGCAAUGCCGCGUGAAUGAAGAAGGUCUUCGGAUUGUAAAGUUCUUUAGUCAGGGAAGAAGUCAAUGACGGUACCUGAAGAAUAAGCUCCGGCUAACUACGUGCCAGCAGCCGCGGUAAGUCGAAGGGAGCAAGCGUUGUUCGGAAUGACUGGGCGUCAAGGGUACGUAGGCGGUUGUACAAGUUAGAAGUGAAAUACCCAGGGCUUAACUCGGUGGCUGCUUCUAAAACUGUAUGACGUGAGUGCAGUAGAGGUUAGUGGAAUUCCUAGUGUAGCGGUGGAAUGCGUAGAUAUUAGGAGGAACACCAGAGGCGAAGGCGGCUAACUGGACUGCAACUGACGCUGAGGCACGAAAGUGUGGGGAGCAAACAGGAUUAGAUACCCCAGUAGUC
rnacentral:rRNA from 1 species